GCUCUAGCCUGCCCAUGAAGAUUAAAUGGCCGCAGUAAAUUGACUGUGCAAAGGUAGCAUAAUCAUUAGUUUUUUAAUUAAAAGCUUGUAUGAAGGGUUGAACGAGGUAAAUUCUGUCUCUAUUUAAUUUAAAUUACAAUUUAAUUUUUAAGUUAAAAAGCUUAAAUAUUUGUAAAAGACGAGAAGACCCUAUAGAGCUUUAUAAUUUUUAUAUUAUAAUAAUUUAAGUUUUUUUAAAGUUUUAUUAUAAAAGUUAUUUUAUUGGGGUAAUAGAAAGAUUAAAAUAAUUCUUUUUUAUUAUUUACAUGAAUAAAUGAAUUUAAUGAUCCAUUUUUAAUGAUUAUAAGAUUAAGUUACCUUAGGGAUAACAGCGUAAUUUUUUUAAAGAGUUCAUAUCGAUAAAAAAGUUUGCGACCUCGAUGUUGGAUUAAAGAUUAGUUUAGGUGUAGAAGUUUAAAUUUUUGGUCUGUUCGACCAUUAAAUCUUUACGUGAUCUGG
rnacentral:rRNA from 1 species